CGGAGGGAACAAACCUUCAGCGUCGCCGCUUGGCCGAGACUUAAUAGGGAAGCCGGUGCAAUUCCGGCGCGGACCCGCCACUGUAAGGACGAUGCCGUAUUUAGAAUGCGGCGGGAAAACAGCAUUGGUCACUGAAGCGUAAUGCUUCGGGAAGACGCCGUUUUUUUAGUCCAAGUCAGGAGACCUGCCCCAUUGUAUAACGCUGAA
rnacentral:ncRNA from 15 species